GGUUUUUAUUAAAGUCGACAAGGAGAUGGGCUUAGAAGCAGCCAAAUUUUGAAGACCUCGUAACAGAGCGCUUGUUAAGUUUUAAAAGCAUCGAAAAUUUAACGGAUCUAAACAAUAUACCGAAACCUUGUCCAUAUUUUACUAUAUAUAUUUAUUGUAUAGUAAUUUUGUGGGGUAGCAGAACGUUGAAUUAAAUUAAGAUAUUUCUUCAGCGAAGAAAUAUAUGAUAAUCAAUUCAAGUGAGAAUGGUGACAUGAGUAACGAAUAAGAAGGAAGGUUCCCGAUUCCCCCUCUUAGCUUAAGAUUAUUUAACUAGGAGGCGAGCAGGUGAAUUCAGAUCCUCCGCCUAAAGCUUAUGGACUAGCAAGGAGCUUGAAAGUAACGGCCUCUAAGUAAUAGACCUAAAGGUUUAAACGAUGAGAAAAUCUAAAUUACUAAAUGACAACAUUUUGGUCCCCCUCCUUUUGAGGAGGUGCUAGGGGGAAUAAGUGAAAAGUGUUCUGGAAAAAAUAGUAAUAAUGAUAUUUUUAUUUAGUAAAUACAACAAACUAAAACAGAUGAGUUUAGAAAGAUAUAAAAUAUUAUACCGUACCUAGAAUCUGAAACAAGUAAGCUAGUAGAGAAUACGAAGGCGUAAAUGAGCUAACAAUCAUAAAGGAACUCGGCAAAUUAACUACCGUAACUUCGGGAUAAGGAGGGCUCAUUAGUCCUGAUGAAUAUCGGGUAAAAAGGAAGAAGCAUAAAAUAAUGUUGUACGACUGUUUAAUUAAAACAAAGCACUCCGCAAAAAGAUUAAAAAUCGAUGUAUUGAGUGUGAUGUCUGCCCGAUCCCGGCUGGUUAACGGAUUUAACUAAAUUAUUAAAAAAUUUGGUGUUGAAGGAACCCCCGGUUAAUGGCGGCCUUAACGUGAGGGUCCUAAGGUAGCGAAAUGCCUUGGCCGUUAAAUGCGGUCUUGCAUGAAUGAUGUAACGAUACAACAGCUGUCUCUAUGAUUGACUCAGUGAAAUUGGAAUAACUGUGCAGAUACAGUUUACCUCUAGUUAGACGAGAAGACCCUAUGCAGCUUUACUGUUACUAAUUAUUGGGUAUGAUGAAUUAAUUUUCAGAUUAUAAGGUAAAUUGGUUAAUAAAAAUGAAAAUCCUUUAUUUUCGCAUCAUACUUCAGAGUCUCUUGCUUGUUGAAUACUAAUUCAGUGGGCGCUUCUGGCUUCAGUGGGCGCUUCUGGCGCCAAUACAGAAGCCCAAAUGAGAGAUAGCCUCAGUUCUGACUUUUAAGUAGCCUUAGAAAGGAAUAUAUGGUUAGGAGACAGUUUAUGUGGGGCACAGACCCCUUAAAGAGUAAAAGGGAGUGUCUAAAAAUUAUUUGUUAUAGGCACAAGCUUGGCUUCGCUUAGCUUGGCCGUAACGUUGUUUGUGGUUUUAUGUAGUUUUACUAUAUUUAAUCUUCUAAAAUUAUUUCUAUCUACCCUCGCUGUAGAUACGAAUGGAUAUUUAGGUACGUUUUUCACUAUAGUGAAAAUAGCGGUAUAAUAAAAAAUAUUAUGAAUAAAUUUUCUAAUGUUUUUUGAGUUAUUAAGAGAUUUCUUAAUAGUCAUGAUAAAUACCUGAAAAGCUCAACGGCUAAUUCGUGCCAUACUGUUUGAUUAACAACAAAUCUUACAGUUGCGUAAGCAGGGCAUAGGAUCACAAGAUGCAAAAAGGAAAGAUCUUGGAUUAUUGGAAAAGCUACGCUAGGGAUGUUUGUCCUUCAAUAUUUUAAGCUAUCUUUGGCUGCGACUACCAUCUCGCCUGCUACCGCGAACCCCAUUCCCAUACCCCCUGACCCCCGUCCCU
rfam:Colletotrichum gloeosporioides Cg-14 contig00012, whole genome shotgun sequence.